rnacentral:ribozyme from 1 species
CGCCUCUUCCCAGCAGGGACAUGGAACACCACCACCAGCACCACUCAAAAGGGUCCAAUAAGGCCAAUCGAUCGAAAUCAAUCGAAAUGGGGCAUUCAGAGAGCAGUCCCAAUAUGCACAGGAGUGCCUCCU